UACGUAGGGUGCAAGCGUUAAUCGGAAUUACUGGGCGUAAAGCGUGCGCAGGCGGGUUUGUAAGACAGGCAUGAAAUCCCCGGGCUCAACCUGGGAAUUGCGCUUGUGACUGCAAAGCUGGAGUGCGGCAGAGGGGGAUGGAAUUCCGCGUGUAGCAGUGAAAUGCGUAGAUAUGCGGAGGAACACCGAUGGCGAAGGCAAUCCCCUGGGCCUGCACUGACGCUCAUGCACGAAAGCGUGGGGAGCAAACAGG
rnacentral:rRNA from 1 species